rnacentral:rRNA from 1 species
AGCAUGCUAGUCGUAACAAGGGAGCAAGUACUUGUCUUUACCCUAGAGUGGCGGACUGGUGAGUAACGCGUAGGUGACCUGCCCUGAAGAUGGGGAUAGCUAGUAGAAAUAUUAGAUAAUACCGAAUGUGCUUAUACGGAUAAAGCCGUAUAAGGAAAGGAGCUACGGCUCCGCUUUAGGAUGGGCUGCGUCCCAUUAGCUUGUUGGUGAGGUAACGCCCACCAAGGCGACGAUGGGUAUCCCGCCUGAGAGGGUGACGGACACCAUUGGAUCUGAGAACGCCCCAAACUCCUACGGGAGGCAGCAGCUAAGAAUCUUCCGCAAUGGACGAAAGUCUGACGGAGCGACGCCGCGGAAUGAAGAAGGCUGAAAAGUGUAAAAUUCUUUUGCAGAUGAAGAAUAAGGAGCUGAGGGCAUGCAUCUUCGAUGACGGUAAUCAUGCGAAUAAGGGGCGGCUAAUUACGUGCCAGCAGCCGCGGUAACACGUAAGCCGCUAGCGUUGUUCGGAAUUAUUGGGCGUAAAGGGCAUGUAGGCGGUUAUGUAAGCCUGAUGUGAAAUCUACGAGCUUAACUCGUAAACUGCAUUGGGUACUGCGUAACUUGAAUCACGGAGGCGAAACCGGAAUUCCAAGUGUAGGGGUGGAAUCUGUAGAUAUUUGGAAGAACACCGGUGGCGAAGGCGGGUUUCUGGCCGAUGAUUGACGCUGAGAUGCGAAGGUGCGGGAGCAAACAGGAUUAGAUACCCUGGUAGUCCGCACAGUAAACAAUGUACACUAGGCGUUGGAGCAAGAGCUUCAGUGCCGACGCAAACGCAUUAAGUGUACCGCCUGGGAAGUAUGCCCGCAAGGGUGAAACUCAAAGGAAUUGACGGGGGCCCACACAAGCGGUGGAGCAUGUGGUUUAAUUCGAUGAUACGCGAGGAACCUUACCUGGGUUUGACAUCAAGAGUAAUGGUAUAGAGAUAUAUCAGCGAUAGCAAUACGACUCUUGACAGGUGCUGCAUGGCUGUCGUCAGCUCGUGCCGUGAGGUGAUUGGAGUUAAGUCCCGCAACGAGCCGCAUCCCCUACUGCCAGUUACUAACACGUAAAAGGUUGAGGACUCUGGCGGAACUGCCGAUGACAAAUCGGAGGAAGGUGGGGAUGACGUCAAGUCAUCAUGGCCCUUACGUCCAGGGCUACACACGUGCUACAAUGGUUGCUACAAAUCGAAGCGACGCCGCGAGGCCAAGCAAAACGCAAAAAAGCAAUCGUAGUCCGGAUUGAAGUCUGAAACUCGACUUCAUGAAGUUGGAAUCGCUAGUAAUCGCACAUCAGCACGGUGCGGUGAAUACGUUCCUGGGCCUUGUACACACCGCCCGUCACACCAUCCGAGUCGAGGGUACCCGAAGCCGCUCCCCCCAUGGUUUUUAUCAAUGGCU